GAUUAUCACCCACUGUGAUGCUAAAACAAAAAAUAUGUAUUUCAAGUAAUAGCUAAAUACUGGCAUUGCCUUUCUUUCCAUUGUUCAGGCCAAAAAUCUUAUUAUGAUUUCUCUCUUUUCUUUGCAAAGCCAUCUAAUCAGUCAGAAAAUCAUGUGGAUUCAUACUUCAAACCAUGUACAGAAGAGAAUAUCUACCCAUAACCUUCAAGUCGGUAUCCUCGUCUAAUCCACUAUAGCCUCCUAUCUGAACUAUUCAAUAGCCUAAUUGGUUUCUCUGGUUCUUCUCUUGCUAUUCUACAAUGUACUGUCCAUUCAGCAGUCAGGAUGAAUCCCUUAAAUGUGAAUCCAAUGUUUCUUACCUGCUCAAAACACUCCAGUGUCUUCUCAUCACACUCAGAAUAAAACUAAAAUUCCCUACAUGGCCGACUAGGUCAAGUAUAAUAUAUCCUCUAACUGUAUCACUCUGACUGUAUCACUUGAAACUCUCCUGCUCUCCUAUUCAGCUCUAGCCAUACUCAUUGUAUUUCUGCUUCUGGAAAUACCUCAUGUCUUUAUCAGAGGCUUUGUACUCACUACUUCCUCUGCCUAGAAUAUUUCCCUCUUCAGAUAGCUUUAUAUGCUCCGUCCAUUCAAUCAUAUAAACAGUGAAAUGCCAGCUCCUCUAAAGGGCUCUUCCUCAGCAACCAAUCUAAAAUAGUCUCCUUAAAUUGCUUACACUAUUCUGUGUAGACCUUUCCCUCACUUCGUCUUCAUAGCAUUUACGGCUACAUUAGAAAUGUGUUAAUGUUGUUCUCUCUCUCAAAAGUGUAAGCUCAAUUAAGUAGCUUCCCCAUAAAUCCCAAGGGAAUGCUUGCCCGUAGUGAUGACAAUUUAGUGAACAGUUGAAUAAGUUAAUGAAUAAAUUGAUACCAUGUACCAAUGUAUAUAAGUAGUAAGAUGGAUCAUUUAUCCCAAACCCACUAGACUUCCACAUAAUUGUGACUUCAUUUGAAUUUUUUCUUAGGCUUAAUUUAUUAAAGAUUCUUGUGGACCAGGUGCAGUGGCUCAAACCUGUAAUCCCAGCACUUUGGGAGGCCGAGGCGGGUGGAUCACGAGGUCAGGAGAUCGAGACCAUCCUGGCUAACACAGUGAAACCCCGUCUCUACUAAAAAUACUAAAAAUUAGCCAGGCGUGGUGGCGGGCGCCUGUAGUCCCAGCUACUUGGGAGGCUGAGGCAGGAGAAUGGCGUGAACCCGGGAGGCGGAGGUUGCAGUGAGCCGAGAUCACGCCACUGCACUCCAGCCUGGGCGACACAGCAAGACUCUGUCACAAAAAAAAAAAAAAAAAAAGAACCUUGUACACCAAAUUUUCACAUACAUGAUUUAAAACUUCUUGAAAAUACCCAACCCCUCCACCAACUAUAAAUACAAUUCCUCAAAGUGGAACUGGAAUAAUAAGAGUCUAGAGAACAGCUGUAAUUGUAAUUUGCUUAUAUAGCAUAACAGAAAUAUUGAAAGAAAUACUUUUAAGAGAAAAUAUUUAAAAACUGGAAAAAUUU
rnacentral:lncRNA from 10 species